GAAGUCUUGGAUCNUUUAUUAGGAAGUAAGCGGAGGAGCAUAUCACUAAGCGGAGGAACUCUUGGAUNNUUNAGAGGAAGUCAUCGGUAUUUAUCAUAUCACUAGGNGGANGAANGUUUGAUGCNUCACAGNANGNAGGGGGGACCUAUGUCUUCNNAACGUCGGUCGUGUAGAAAGUCUUUGAAUGUUUACUAUCAUCGAGUCGCGACUUCUAGGAGACGCGAUUCUUUGAGAUAAAAGUUAUUACAACUUUCAGCAACGGAUCUCUUGGCUCUCGCAUCGAUGAAGAACGCAGCGAAAAGCGAUAUGUAAUGUGAAUUGCAGAUCUACAGUGAAUCAUCGAAUCUUUGAACGCACCUUGCGCUCCUCGGUGUUCCGAGGAGCAUGCCUGUUUGAGUGUCAGUAAAUUCUCAACCCCUCUCGAUUAGCUUCGAGAGGGCGCUUGGAUAGUGGAGGUUGCCGGAGACUUGGAUUCGUCCGAGACUCGGGCUCUUCUGAAAUGCAUCGGCUUGCGGUCGACUUUCGACUAUGUGCGACAAGGCUUUCGGCGUGAUAAUGAUCGCCGUUCGCUGAANCGCAUGACCGAACGUCCCGUGCCUCUAAUACGUCGACCGCUUAUUAUCUCUCCGGAGAGAACAGGGUCUUCCUUAUUGACUUUUGACCUCAAAUCAGGUAGGACUACCCGCUGAACUUANGCAUAUCAAUAAGCGGACG
rnacentral:rRNA from 1 species